rnacentral:tRNA from 1 species
GGGGACUUAGCUCAUUUGGUAGAGCACCUGAUUUGCAUUCAGGGGGUGAGGAGUUCGAGUCUCCUAGUCUCCA